ensembl:lncRNA
GGGGAACAUAGGACCUUUAAAAAAAAAAGAGUCACAUUUGAAGAAUAGUCCAUAUGAAUGCGCAGAUAUCCAUGCUGGAAAACAGUUAGUCCAGGGAGCUUAUCCUCGGCCAGGUAGCGAUUAAAAACAAACAAAGUGAUACAAAGUAUCACUGUUUGUUUGUAAACAGUGAUACAAAGUAUCACUGUUUACAAUGAUGUUUACAAUGAUAUUUACAGUGAUACAAAGUACGCACCGUACAGGCAAAUGGACAAAAUCCGUCCAGUAUUUCUUUACACAAUGCGUGAAGUAGGGUAAGAGACAAAAAGUAGGGUAAGAGACAAAAAAACAAGGAAAAAAGCUGCUCUACGUGCCGACCGGUCGACCGCAUGAGCAGUGACCAUGGCGACAUGAAUGAUAAGUUUGCCUAUUAUCUUAGUCAUUAGUAGAAAUGGAAUAUCUAUUCAAAAGAUAUUUCACACCAUGCACGAGCAAUACAAACCCCCGAUUAAGAGCAGUUUUGCGGCCACAUUGUUUGUAGAUGCUUUCCUGGUUCCCCAUCACACUUGUAUCCAUCCGUCUUCACUGUAGAGGUCCGGCCGUUUUAAUAUCUGAACGAGCUUCUGUCUGUACUGAGGUGCCACAAUCUCAGUACUUUUGACGUGAAUUGUGUUGUCCUUCAAAUAAAACAUCCCGAACUUGAACUGCGCCAUUGUAAGUAACUCAACUGCGACAACGGUUCCCUCAGCAAUCAGCAUCUACAUCUGCAAGCAGAUUGCAUUCGGGGGUAACCAAUCAGCGGCAGCACAGCGCCACGAAUACGUGCGCACGCAUGCGCACGUAUCAGUAAUAAGGUAAAGUAAAUCACCAUGGAUGUAUUUUACCGGGCUUAGAGAAAAACUGUAAAACCGCCCGCAGACAUGGCACCCAAAAGACAUUACAAAGAAUAUCUGCUGGAUGAGUCGAGCCAACCUUCAAAGGCAACCAAAUACAGACGGCUAGCAAACAAGAAAGAGAAUACUUUAAACUGCAGAGGGAAUUACAAGAAUUACCUCAGGGCAUCCUGUACAACUAACAAUAAAGAGGUUGUGAAAGAGAUUCCACUUUCAAAUAACGGUGAAAGAACAUAUUCUCUGGAGGAAUAUCCAGGAGAAAAUCCCACAACUAACAAACAGAAUGUUCCCGAUGAGGGCCUUGUUGCAGAAGGACCAAGCGAUCAGUCAUCUUUAGAAUGUUUGAGAGGAAAGCAUCUUGUCAGUCCAAUAAGAGAGCACCUGCUUCAGGACAGACCCAACAGAGAUUCAUCAGAGCCUGCCGGAGAGGGAGUCUCCAGAAAGACCCACCCAGUGCUAGAAUUGCCACCCUCCACCUACUCACACCGCACUUUUCAAUUUUGUGGGGAUCAACAAGAUAUGCAAAUCGGACCAGAAGCACAGGACAUGUUAGAGAAGCAACCAGGAUCCAAUGUGCCUGCUACUCCACCUCAUCAGCAAGAGACACCAAACCAACAGGCAGAGACAUUUUUGUUGGAUGGAGCUGAUCCAGCGUAUCCUGGAGCUCCACUGACAAAGGGACAAAGUUUAAUCUUACUGAUGUCUUAUGUACUAAGGCACAAUGUGACAGGUGUGGCACUUGAACAUCUACUGAAGAUUGUCAAUGAACAUUUCCUUGGAAUGGUACCAGUAACCACAUACCUUUUUCACAAAGCUUAUGGACAAUAUGGAAAUUAUGUCCCCCAUUUUUACUGUCCAGCAUGUGAAAACUACUUAGGGGUAAAUAAUACCAGUGAACUAAUGUGUGGUGCCUGUAAUGCAGUAACUGAUUCAGAGAGCUGUCUCAAAAGUGGGUGUUUCUUUCUAGUGCUUAGUUUGGCUUCACAAAUCAAAACAUUGCUUGAACAAAACCAAGGUUUAAAAAAAGACUGGCAAUGUGCAGAUGUCAUUUCAGAUAUACAGUGUGGAGAAGAGUACCAGAAACUCAAAGAAUCAGGUGAAUUAGGUGAGGAUGACAUAACUUUAAUUUGGAACUGUGAUGGAAUUCCAGUUUUCAGGAGUUCAAAGUAUCAAAUCUGGCCCAUUCAGUGCCAGGUUAUAGAACUCGAACCUAAAGAACGCAAGGCAAAUAUCUGUCUUCCUUGUCUCUGGUUUGGCGAGAAGAAGCAAAACUUCUUAACAUUUUUGAAGCCAUUUGUUAAAGUGUGUAUUGUAAGUUAAUGUUUUUAAAAAUAUUUAUACAUAACAUUCUCUGAAAAUUGCUCUUUGAAAUUAAAAUGCAGGAUUU